rnacentral:rRNA from 1 species
UACGAGUGCCCCAAGCGUUAUCCGGAAUCAUUGGGCGUAAAGGGUGUGUAGGUGGCGAUGUUAGUCUUCUGUUAAAACCCCGGGCUUAACCCGGGAUCUGCAGGGGAAACGGCAUUGCUUGAGGGUGCGAGGGGUGAAUGGAACUCAUGGAGUAGGGGUGAAAUCCGUUGAUAUCAUGGGGAACACCAAAAGCGAAGGCAAUUCACUGGCGCAUUCCUGACACUGAAACACGAAAGCGUGGGUGAGCGGACGGG